AGAGUUUGAUCCUGGCUCAGGAUGAACGCUAGCGACAGGCUUAACACAUGCAAGUCGAGGGGCAGCACAGGUAGCAAUACCGGGUGGCGACCGGCGCACGGGUGAGUAACGCGUAUGCAACUUACCUAUCAGAGGGGGAUAGCCCGGCGAAAGUCGGAUUAAUACCCCAUAAAACAGGGGUCCCGCAUGGGAAUAUUUGUUAAAGAUUCAUCGCUGAUAGAUAGGCAUGCGUUCCAUUAGGCAGUUGGCGGGGUAACGGCCCACCAAACCGACGAUGGAUAGGGGUUCUGAGAGGAAGGUCCCCCACAUUGGUACUGAGACACGGACCAAACUCCUACGGGAGGCAGCAGUGAGGAAUAUUGGUCAAUGGCCGAGAGGCUGAACCAGCCAAGUCGCGUGAAGGAAGAAGGAUCUAUGGUUUGUAAACUUCUUUUAUAGGGGAAUAAAGUGGAGGACGUGUCCUUUUUUGUAUGUACCCUAUGAAUAAGCAUCGGCUAACUCCGUGCCAGCAGCCGCGGUAAUACGGAGGAUGCGAGCGUUAUCCGGAUUUAUUGGGUUUAAAGGGUGCGUAGGUGGUGAUUUAAGUCAGCGGUGAAAGUUUGUGGCUCAACCAUAAAAUUGCCGUUGAAACUGGGUUACUUGAGUGUGUUUGAGGUAGGCGGAAUGCGUGGUGUAGCGGUGAAAUGCAUAGAUAUCACGCAGAACUCCGAUUGCGAAGGCAGCUUACUAAACCAUAACUGACACUGAAGCACGAAAGCGUGGGGAUCAAACAGGAUUAGAUACCCUGGUAGUCCACGCAGUAAACGAUGAUCACUAGCUGUUUGCGAUACAGUGUAAGCGGCACAGCGAAAGCGUUAAGUGAUCCACCUGGGGAGUACGCCGGCAACGGUGAAACUCAAAGGAAUUGACGGGGGCCC
rnacentral:rRNA from 1 species